AUAAAAGCGGGCAUCUGUGGAAAGCAGGUUUAGUUAUCGGAGGGGAACCAUUAAACGCCAGUUUAAGAGGCAGGCCGGGAGGACGGCUCGUGGAUGUUUAGACUGCCGGCCUUGGUGAUCUUGAACGCAUUACAACGGAAAAUGGAUCUCCACUUAAGGCGCAGAUCAUUCAUGGGGAAGUAAAACCGAAACCAGUCCUCUCCACCCCCUGCGGGUCUUCACUUUCCCAGUCUACAUCUGCCUGUGACUCCAGAAAGACAAACUGCAGAUUGGCCAAGAUGGGGAAAUUGAGGCACAGAAGCCAAGACAUGCGCUAAAGGUCAUGCGGGCUAUGAAUGGAGCUGGAAUGUGAAUGCAGGCCAUGUGACUCCAGAGCCCAUGUUCUUGAACCCUUAGAAAGACAGCAGCAACACACCUGGUGCAGCAGCUGCUUAGUUGGAGUGGCUGACAAGAGAUCCUGGCAAAUGGGUGUUUCUUCUCAGAAACUGAUUUUUCUCCAUGACUGCAGUUGAAUUACAGAGUUGUAGAGACAUCCAGGUUCUUGUUAGUGUGGACGAACUAUCCAUGAAGAUCUUAAAUGCAGGAGUCUAUGAGAACACCAAUUAAUCAAUUGUUAAAUAUUUGAGUAUCUGUUG
rnacentral:antisense_RNA from 1 species